GUGCCAGCAGCCGCGGUAAUACCGGCAGCACAAGUGAUGGCCAAUCUUAUUGGGCCUAAAGCGUCCGUAGCUGGCCGACCAAGUCUCCCGGGAAAUCCACCCGCUCAACGGGUGGGCGUCCGGUAGAAACUGGCCGGCUUGGAACCGGAAGGCUCAGAGAGUACGUCCGGGGUAGGAGUGAAAUCCCGUAAUCCCGGACGGACUACCGAUGGCGAAAGCACUCUGAGAAGACGGCUCCGACAGUGAGGGACGAAAGCCAGGGUCUCCAACCGGAUUAGAUACCCUGGUAGUCC
rnacentral:rRNA from 1 species